rnacentral:lncRNA from 1 species
GCCUGUGUCACCGUGGCGCUCCAUGAGAGCACAGAAAUACGUCGCAGCAUCCCCCAGCUGCGAGUCGGAGAUCUCCAGGCUGAAGGACUUAGCUGCUUUCUGGAAGUUCACAGAGAAGCGGUUUAACGUUGCAUUAUACUGCUUGUAUGCUUCUUGGAGAAUGACGAGAGUCACCUGCCCUCCUUGCUGUUUGUACCAGAACAAGAGGUAAUUAGUAUCACUUGUGUCAUAGGUGCAGUCCAGGGUUGCUGAUUCUGCCACCUGCACAGACUUUUUCUUCUGAGGCUGAGACACUGUCUGAGCCAUGCUGGCUUCUGUGGGAAAAAAAAAAAAAAAGAGAGAGAAAUGACUCCCUUGUGGCUUCUGUCAGAAUUAGGAAUAGACUCUCAAGUCUGGCUCCCGGCUCAUCUGCCUUUUUCUCUUGGUUUCAGUAGUGCCAGGCAGGGGAUUCCAGACUUAAGCUUCCUGGAAGCCUGGCCCAAUGAUGCUGCUCUCAGAACCCAGUGCUGUUGGUCCGUCUCCCGAUUUCCCAUUCCUGAUGAGGACUUGUAAAAGCAAAUGGGUUUGCCUUCUUACCAAGAGAAGUGGAAAGGAAGAGCACCCACAGGAAGAACGGCCGUACCAUGCUAGAAGCCGGCUUCAGAUCAGUCCUUGCUCUCAGCUGCGCUAGCACUGUCUCACCUUCAAAACAGGAAAUGAUAGGCUAAGUGGGCUGUCACUGGUGAUAUCUCACUUAGAAAAUGUGUCAAGGUGUUUAUCUUUCUCUUCAGAAGAUAAAUCUUUCUUAAGUGAAAAAAGAUACAGUCAGGACCAAAUGUUCUCUCGAGUAAAAUAGAAAAGAAAAAAAAAAGUGUUCAAUUGUUUUUAAUAGAGACAAAAUUUUAGAGGAAAAGCCACGUGUGGUGUUGUAUGCCUUUAAUCCCAGCAACUUGGGAGGCAGAAGCAGGUGUAUCUCUGUGAGUUCAAGGCCAUCCUGGUCAACAGAAUAAAUUGCAGGACAACCAGGGCUAUAUAAAGAGACCUUGUCUCAAAAGGCCAAAGGGUAAACACCAAUAACAACAAUAAACAAAACAAAACAACC